AAUAUUGGUCAAUGGGGGCAACCCUGAUCCAGCAAUGCAGUGUGAUUGAAGAAGGUCUNCUGAUUNUNAAGCACUUUAAGUUGGGNGGAAGGGCUUUAGGUUAAUACCCUCAAGUUUUCACGUUACCAAAAGAAUAAGCACCGGCUAACUCUGUGCCAGCAGCCGCGGUAAUACAGAGGGUGCAAGCGUUAAUCGGAAUUACUGGGCGUAAAGCGCGCGUAGGUGGUUCAGUAAGAUGGGUGUGAAAUCCCCGGGCUUAACCUGGGAACUGCUUUCAUAACUGCUGAGCUAGAGUACGGUAGAGGGUAGUGGAAUUUCCUGUGUAGCGGUGAAAUGCGUAGAUAUAGGAAGGAACACCAGUGGCGAAGGCGACUACCUGGACUGAUACUGACACUGAGGUGCGAAAGCGUGGGGAGCAA
rnacentral:rRNA from 1 species